CCUACGGGUGGCUGCAGUGGGGAAUUUUCCGCAAUGGGCGCAAGCCUGACGGAGCAAUCUCGCGUGAGGGAUGACUGCCUAUGGGUUGUAAACCUCUUUUUUCAGGGAGGAAUAAAUGACGUGUACCUGAAGAAUAAGCAUCGGCUAACUCCGUGCCAGCAGCCGCGGUAAGACGGAGGAUGCAAGUGUUAUCCGGAAUCACUGGGCGUAAAGCGUCUGUAGGUGGUUUAAUAAGUCAACUGUUAAAUCUUGAAGCUCAACUUCAAAAUCGCAGUCGAAACUAUUAGACUAGAGUAUAGUAGGGGUAAAGGGAAUUUCCAGUGGAGCGGUGAAAUGCGUAGAGAUUGGAAAGAACACCGAUGGCGAAGGCACUUUACUGGGCUAUUACUGACACUCAGAGACGAAAGCUAGGGUAGCAAAUGGGAUUAGAUACCCAAGUAGUC
rnacentral:rRNA from 1 species